rnacentral:rRNA from 1 species
AGAGUUUGAUCCUGGCUCAGAACGAACGCUGGCGGCAGGCCUAACACAUGCAAGUCGAACGAUGCCUUCGGGCAUAGUGGCGCACGGGUGAGUAACACGUGGGAACAUACCUUUUGGUGGGGGAUAACUUCGGGAAACUGAAGCUAAUACCGCAUACGCCCCUUGGGGGAAAGAUUUAUCGCCGAAAGAUUGGCCCGCGUCCGAUUAGCUAGUUGGUGAGGUAAUGGCUCACCAAGGCUCCGAUCGGUAGCUGGUCUGAGAGGAUGACCAGCCACACUGGGACUGAGACACGGCCCAGACUCCUACGGGAGGCAGCAGUGGGGAAUAUUGGACAAUGGGCGCAAGCCUGAUCCAGCCAUGCCGCGUGAGUGAUGAAGGCCUUAGGGUUGUAAAGCUCUUUCACCCACGACGAUGAUGACGGUAG